CAGCUCGUUGCAGAUGCAGAAGAGAAGCAGGAAGCAGAGCCACGAUCACUGCACUGUCUUAGGUUAUCACCAUCAAGAGGAAGGUUGCUCAAAAGGCUUUCCAUUUAAUACCCAAUUCAUUCUGAGCUCCAGUGAAGCAGCUGAAUGUAAAAGGUAUUAGGAAAAGCGAAGGGUUGGCUACUCAUUGGGGAGCAAAAAUUGAAGAAGAAAACUCAGUGACAGAUCCAAGCCACAAACAGGUAGGACUACCCUCUGUGGCAUAACACAGUGAGUACUGCAUUGUAACCCAUCAGAAUCAUUACAUCAUAGGCCAUGGUUGUUCAUACGCUAAGCUCUGUGAAUUCUGUGUUCUUUGUACUAUUUCUUCAAACUAAUCAUGGAGGGUAAUGCAAAUCAGGGAUGGCGGACUUCUGGAUCUUGGUUGGGGUGCAGCCUGUUGUCUGGGACUAGAAGGGUAUUCCCGAGGAGUCAGACUCUACCCUGGUGUUCUCCAGAUGUAUU